rnacentral:rRNA from 1 species
AAGCGGCUGUGGAGUGUAUAGAAGUGAGAAUGCCGGAAUGAGUAGCGCGAAUGCAGUGAGAAUCUGCAUGGCCGAAAGCCUCAGGUUUCUGGAGGAAGGUUCGUCCGCUCCAGGUUAGUCGGGAGCUAAGGUGAGGCCGAAAGGCGUAGCCGAUGCACAGACGGUAGAGAUUCCGUCACCACCAAAAGAGUUAAGCACAGGGACACAUAUGAAGUCUCAGAGCCGGGUGUUGGUUCCGGUAGAGAUCGAGGGAAAUUAGUACCGAAGUCUGAGAUGGAAGAUGGCGAGAAAAGCUGUGUGUAUUUCUGAGGUGCCCGUACCGCAAACCGACACAGGUAGGUAGGAAGAAGAUUCUAAGGCCAACGGGAGAAGGGUUGUUAAGGAACUCGGCAAAUUGACCCCGUAACUUCGGGAGAAGGGGUGCUCCAGAGAUGGAGCCGCAGAGAAUCGGCCCAAGCAACUGUUUACCAAAAACACAGGUUUGUGCUAAAUCGAAAGAUGACGUAUACGAGCUGACGCCUGCCCGGUGCUGGAAGGUUAAGAGGAGAUGUGCAAGCAUUGAAUCGAAGCCCCAGUGAACGGCGGCCGUAACUAUAACGGUCCUAAGGUAGCGAAAUUCCUUGUCAGGUAAGUUCUGACCCGCACGAAAGGCGUAAUGAUUUGGGCACUGUCUCAACAGCCCGCCCGGCGAAAUUGUAGUACCGGUGAAGAUGCCGGUUACCCGCGACAAGACGGAAAGACCCCAUGGAGCUUUACUGUAGCCUAAUAUUGGGUUUCGAUGUUGCAUGCACAGGAUAGAUGGGACUCUUGGAAACCAAGGCUUUGGCUUUGGCGGAGAGGCCGUUGGGAUACCAUCCUUGCGAUAUUGGAAUUCUAACCUGCGGCUCUGAAUCGAGUCGGGGGACAUUGUUAGGUGGGCAGUUUGACUGGGGCGGUCGCCUCCUAAAGAGUAACGGAGGCGUUCAAAGGUUCGCUCAGCUUGAACGGAAAUCAAGCAAAAGAGUGCAAACGCAGAAGCGAGCCUAACUGCGAGACUGACGGGUCGAGCAGUAACGAAAGUUGGAGUUAGUGAUCCGGUGGUAUGUGAGUGGAAAUGCCAUCGCUCAACGGAUAAAAGUUACCCUGGGGAUAACAGGCUGAUCUCCCCCAAGAGUCCACAUCGACGGGGAGGUU